AGGUGUUGUUCGUUUGAUCAGUUG
rnacentral:siRNA from 1 species